CUCAAGUGAUCCUUUGGCCUCAGCCUCCCAAACAGAUAUUCUUCACAGAAAAAUCCAGCAAAGCCCACUCCUUCUGGAUGAAGUUCACAGCCACAUCUUCAAAGACCACCAAGCCAUGACAUAUCCCAGAUAUGUGUAGAGGAGAACAGGUGAAAGGCGGGCUUGGGAACCCCACAGACCACAGCUCCUCGCAGGAGAACCCCACACGAGUCUGGAUCCUCGCCAUGAUCCUCCCAUGGCCCCCACACAAUCUGGGGAGAUGCGGGGCCGCGGGCACUGCGGGCGCUGUGCUGCCGAGAGGGCUCCGGACCGGGGCUGCAGUUGCCACGCAGGGACGGGACACGAUGCCCGGGGUCCCGGCUGCCGGCCCAGCCCCACCCUGUGGCCGAGGGGACCUAGGGCCGAGCUGCGCCAGGGAGACUUGGGUCCGCAGACCCCGGAAUCGCUGCUGAGAGGCCCGGGUCCCACCACAGCAGGUCCCAACCAGCCCCUCCUCCCACCCCGCCUUGCACACUCACCAUUUCCCGGCUCCCAGGUGUCCCGGGUCCUCCCUUGGCUCCGGGGAUCAGUGCUAGUCACCACCGGACAGAAGCUGUGGUGGAGCCACCUUGCCCUCUGGAACGCUGAUUUCAGUGGGUUAGGGGAACAAGAGCCCCUUAGACUUGCGGAGCUUGACCCCACCCUCCUGGCGGAGCGCCUGAUUGGAUGAUUUACACGACCCCGCCCAGUACCCCUAGGAUAGGAAUCAAGCCCCACCCCUUAGGCCCGGGUUUCAGGAGAAGCCACGGAAAGCGUGGAAGUGUGGAGCAGGACUGACUGGUUCUAGCAACAGCCCUCCCACCCCGCCAGGCCAGGCUUCCUUCUGGAGCUUGGAUGUGACCCCACACUGGGGACAUUUGCAUUUAAGAAAAACUUGGCUCCGGAUUUUCCACAGUGGGCACUGGCAUCUUCCUAUACUCACUGGGCCCUUUCUGUUUCUUCCUCCUGGACAGGGGUUCACAAGUGUGAGCAGGCAGUUCCACACACCGUGUCCAAUUGAGCCAAUACCUUUGCUGGAAGCUACUGGGCUGGAACAGGAGGGAGGGCCCAGAUGUCUCCCAGGGAUCAGGAAUUUGGGAUAAGCGGCUGGUGGCAUGGCCAAGCCUUCCUCAUACCUUACCUCAGUCUACCCAUUUUCAGGGAAGAAAAUGAAAUAUGCCAACAAGGGAACAAAAAUUAAGUGCGUGGAAAAAAGAGUUAUACUACAGCAAUAUUCUGUAAAGAAAUCAAAAGGGGCCGGGCACGACGACUUACGCCUAUAAUCCCUGCACUUCGGGAGGC